UGUUGUCCGACUCUGUUGCCUCCGGGGCGACCCUGCCUUCGGGCGGGGGCUCCGGGUGGACACUUCAAACUCUUGCGUAACUUUGCAGUCUGAGUAAACUUAAUUAAUAAAUUAAAACUUUUAACAACGGAUCUCUUGGUUCUGGCAUCGAUGAAGAACGCAGCGAAAUGCGAUAAGUAAUGUGAAUUGCAGAAUUCAGUGAAUCAUCGAAUCUUUGAACGCACAUUGCGCCCCCUGGUAUUCCGGGGGGCAUGCCUGUUCGAGCGUCAUUUCACCACUCAAGCCUCGCUUGGUAUUGGGCAACGCGGUCCGCCGCGUGCCUCAAAUCGUCCGGCUGGGUCUUCUGUCCCCUAAGCGUUGUGGAAACUAUUCGCUAAAGGGUGUUCGGGAGGCUACGCCGUAAAACAACCCCAUUUCUAAGGUUGACCUCGGAUCAGGUAGGGAUA
rnacentral:rRNA from 1 species